AUGAACGCUAGCGACAGGCUUAACACAUGCAAGUCGAGGGGCAGCACAGGUAGCAAUACCGGGUGGCGACCGGCGCACGGGUGAGUAACGCGUAUGCAACUUACCUAUCAGAGGGGGAUAACCCGGCGAAAGUCGGACUAAUACCGCAUGAAGCAGGGGCCCCGCAUGGGGAUAUUUGCUAAAGAUUCAUCGCUGAUAGAUAGGCAUGCGUUCCAUUAGGCAGUUGGCGGGGUAACGGCCCACCAAACCGACGAUGGAUAGGGGUUCUGAGAGGAAGGUCCCCCACAUUGGUACUGAGACACGGACCAAACUCCUACGGGAGGCAGCAGUGAGGAAUAUUGGUCAAUGGGCGUAAGCCUGAACCAGCCAAGUCGCGUGAGGGAUGAAGGUUCUAUGGAUCGUAAACCUCUUUUAUAAGGGAAUAAAGUGCGGGACGUGUCCCGUUUUGUAUGUACCUUAUGAAUAAGGAUCGGCUAACUCCGUGCCAGCAGCCGCGGUAAUACGGAAGAUCCGCGCGUUAGUCGUAUUUAUUGGGUUUAAAGGGUGCGUAGGCGGCCUUUUAAGUCAGCGGUGAAAGUCUGUGGCUCAACCAUAGAAUUGCCGUUGAAACUGGGAGGCUUGAGUAUGUUUGAGGCAGGCGGAAUGCGUGGUGUAGCGGUGAAAUGCUUAGAUAUCACGCAGAACCCCGAUUGCAAAGGCAGCCUGCCAAGCCAUGACUGACGCUGAUGCACGAAAGCGUGGGGAUCAAACAGGAUUAGAUACCCUGGUAGUCCACGCAGUAAACGAUGAUCACUAGCUGUUUGCGAUACAGUGUAAGCGGCACAGCGAAAGCGUUAAGUGAUCCACCUGGGGAGUACGCCGGCAACGGUGAAACUCAAAGGAAUUGACGGGGGCCCGCACAAGCGGAGGAACAUGUGGUUUAAUUCGAUGAUACGCGAGGAACCUUACCCGGGUUUGAACGCAUUCGGACCGAGGUGGAAACACCUCUUCUAGCAAUAGCCGUUUGCGAGGUGCUGCAUGGUUGUCGUCAGCUCGUGCCGUGAGGUGUCGGCUUAAGUGCCAUAACGAGCGCAACCCUUGCCACUAGUUACUAACAGGUAAAGCUGAGGACUCUGGUGGGACUGCCAGCGUAAGCUGCGAGGAAGGCGGGGAUGACGUCAAAUCAGCACGGCCCUUACAUCCGGGGCGACACACGUGUUACAAUGGCGUGGACAAAGGGAAGCCACCUGGCGACAGGGAGCGAAUCCCCAAACCACGUCUCAGUUCGGAUCGGAGUCUGCAACCCGACUCCGUGAAGCUGGAUUCGCUAGUAAUCGCGCAUCAGCCAUGGCGCGGUGAAUACGUUCCCGGGCCUUGUACACACCGCCCGUCAAGCCAUGGGAGCCGGGGGUACCUGAAGUCCGUAACCGCGAGGAUCGGCCUAGGGUAAAACUGGUGACUGGGGCU
rnacentral:rRNA from 1 species